rnacentral:rRNA from 1 species
GGCAGGCUUAACACAUGCAAGUCGAGCGCACCUUCGGGUGAGCGGCGGACGGGUUAGUAACGCGUGGGAACAUACCCUUUGGUACGGAAUAGCCUCUGGAAACGGAGAGUAAUACCGUAUGAGCCCUUCGGGGGAAAGAUUUAUCGCCAAAGGAUUGGCCCGCGUUAGAUUAGGUAGUUGGUGGGGUAAUGGCCUACCAAGCCUACGAUCUAUAGCUGGUUUUAGAGGAUGAUCAGCAACACUGGGACUGAGACACGGCCCAGACUCCUACGGGAGGCAGCAGUGGGGAAUCUUGGACAAUGGGGGCAACCCUGAUCCAGCCAUGCCGCGUGAGUGAUGAAGGCCUUAGGGUCGUAAAGCUCUUUCGCCUGUGAAGAUAAUGACGGUAGCAGGUAAAGAAACCCCGGCUAACUCCGUGCCAGCAGCCGCGGUAAUACGGAGGGGGUUAGCGUUGUUCGGAAUUACUGGGCGUAAAGCGCACGUAGGCGGACUGGAAAGUAUGGGGUGAAAUCCCAGGGCUCAACCCUGGAACUGCCUCAUAAACUAUCAGUCUAGAGUUCGAGAGAGGUGAGUGGAAUUCCAAGUGUAGAGGUGAAAUUCGUAGAUAUUUGGAGGAACACCAGUGGCGAAGGCGGCUCACUGGCUCGAUACUGACGCUGAGGUGCGAAAGUGUGGGGAGCAAACAGGAUUAGAUACCCUGGUAGUCCACACCGUAAACGAUGAAUGCCAGUCGUCGGGUAGCAUGCUAUUCGGUGACACACCUAACGGAUUAAG